AUACGUAGGGGGCGAGCGUUAUCCGGAUUUAUUGGGCGUAAAGCGUGUGUAGGCGGUCUAUUAAGUCUAAGAUCAAAGUCCGAGGCUCAACCUCGGUUCGUCUUAGAUACUGGUAGACUUGAGUGUGGUAGAGGCAAGUGGAAUUUCUAGUGUAGCGGUUAAAUGCGUAGAUAUUAGAAGGAACACCAGUGGCGAAGGCGGCUUACUGGUCCAUUACUGACGCCGAGGUGCGAAAGCGUGGGGAGC
rnacentral:rRNA from 1 species